rfam:Sporosarcina psychrophila strain DSM 6497, complete genome.
UAACCUAGCCAAUGAUGGGUAGCUGAACAAUCAGAAGUCAGCAGAAGCCAUAGUACCAUUCGAACUCGAGAAGGAUGGGAAGGGC